UCAGCCUUCUGAGAUUAAGCAGUAACAGGUCUACAAUGCCCUUAGAUGUCUGGAACUGUAUGCAUGCUACACUGACUGACUCAGCUGUGUGUCAGCUUAUGCCAGCUGGAACGGCUAACCCGUUGAACUCCAUCUGUGAUGGGGAUUGAGGACAGCAAUUAUUUCCCAUGAAUGAGGAAUUCCCAGUAAGUGCAAGUCAUAAGAUCACGUUGAUAAUGUCCCUCCCCUUCCUACACUUACUCAGAUAACUG
rnacentral:ncRNA from 1 species